AGCUUUGUGCCACAGAUGUACCAUAGCCAAUGAGGUUUAUGUGAGGUAUGAUUAUUGCUAAGCAAAAACUUUUCCCAAAUUACCAUAUAAAAGUCAACCAUUUGCUAUUGAGUUAACUUGGAGCCCUAGUGGCACAGUGGUUAAGCACUUGGCUGGUUAGCAAUUUGAACCCACCAGCCACUCUACAGGAGAAAGAUGUGG
rnacentral:snRNA from 1 species